AACGAACGCUGGCGGCAUGCCUAACACAUGCAAGUCGAACGAGACCUUCGGGUCUAGUGGCGCACGGGUGCGUAACGCGUGGGAACCUGCCCUUAGGUUCAGAAUAACUCCCCGAAAGGGGUGCUAAUACCGGAUAAUGUCUUCGGACCAAAGAUUUAUCGCCUUUGGAUGGGCCCGCGUUGGAUUAGCUAGUUGGUAGGGUAAAAGCCUACCAAGGCGACGAUCCAUAGCUGGUCUGAGAGGAUGAUCAGCCACACUGGGACUGAGACACGGCCCAGACUCCUACGGGAGGCAGCAGUGGGGAAUAUUGGACAAUGGGCGAAAGCCUGAUCCAGCAAUGCCGCGUGAGUGAUGAAGGCCUUAGGGUUGUAAAGUUCUUUUACCCGGGAUGAUAAUGACAGUACCGGGAGAAUAAGCUCCGGCUAACUCCGUG
rnacentral:rRNA from 1 species